rnacentral:rRNA from 1 species
GCCGUAAGGCCUUGGUUCGGGAACCACUGGAACGGUGGCUAAUACCGGGUAUGCCGAGAGGUGAAAGAUUAAUUGCCUGGAGAUGAGCUCGCGUCUGAUUAGCUAGUUGGUGGUGUAAGGGACUACCAAGGCGACGAUCAGUAGCUGGUCUGAGAGGAUGAUCAGCCACACUGGAACUGAGACACGGUCCAGACUCCUACGGGAGGCAGCAGUGGGGAAUUUUCCGCAAUGGGCGAAAGCCUGACGGAGCAAUACCGCGUGAGGGAGGAAGGCUCUUGGGUUGUAAACCUCUUUUCUCAGGGAAUAAGCAAGUGAAGGUACCUGAGGAAUCAGCAUCGGCUAACUCCGUGCCAGCAGCCGCGGUAAUACGGAGGAUGCAAGCGUUAUCCGGAAUGAUUGGGCGUAAAGCGUCCGUAGGUGGCUGUGUGUGUCUAUUGUUAAAGAGUUUGGCUUAACCAGAUAAAGGCGGUAGAAACUACACAGCUAGAGUGCGUUCGGGGCAGAGGGAAUUCCUGGUGUAGCGGUGAAAUGCGUAGAGAUCAGGAAGAACACCGGUGGCGAAAGCGCUCUGCUAGGCCGCAACUGACACUGAGGGACGAAAGCUAGGGGAGCGAAUGGGAUUAGAUACCCAGGUAGUCACAC